rnacentral:rRNA from 1 species
GACAGAGGGUGCAAACGUUGUUCGGAAUUACUGGGCGUAAAGCGCGUGUAGGCUGCUUCGCAAGUCGGAUGUGAAAGCCCUGGGCUCAACCCAGGAAGUGCAUUCGAAACUGCAGAGCUGGAGUCCUGGAGAGGAAGGCGGAAUUCUCGGUGUAGAGGUGAAAUUCGUAGAUAUCGAGAGGAACACCUGUGGCGAAGGCGGCCUUCUGGACAGUGACUGACGCUGAGACGCGAAAGCGUGGGGAGCAAACAGG